UGAGCAGCUUUCGCCGAAGGAACGCUCACCACUCAUAGGUGCCUUCGUAUAGAACUGCCCUAGAUAU
rnacentral:snoRNA from 1 species